GAACUUGAGAGAGCACUGACACAUCUACUCUCAGAUACGCUCAUAGUAUUGUUGUUGAAUGGCAUGGGCUGUAUAUUCUGCAUAUUCUGCAUAUUCUACAUAUUCCCCAGUAGACAUGGUGUGAAGUGGAAUGAGGGAUAAAUGUCAUGUCUUCUCCAUAGACUCGUCAAGCCAAAUUUUAGCGGUAAACUCAAUCCGGUAUGCAUUUCCAUUGGUUAGCGUAAAUGCAGCGGAAUUACACUUUUCCCUGUGGGGUACGGACUUCUAGCCUCCGGAGAGGCCUUUGGAAGAACCUAAAUGUUUUUCGAGCAGGUCAUCGCGAGCGCCACAUGCGCCCUUUCUUAGUGUUUGGCUACUUUCGCAAGGUCACUCUCAAUUGCUGUCCUGCAAGCAACAUAGAGUUAUUACCAAGCUUUUCAGCCUGUCUAUCCCUCUCCCCAGAAUUUAACUGCCGUCUACCCCGUGCGUACUAGUCUUACUGUUGUUACCUCCAACUCCACUUGCUUCGAGCCAGUCCCAACAUCUCUCCACGACUUCGCCUUCGACUCUGCUAGUCUCCGGAGCACAGUACAGCGAAACUGGACCACAGGCACAUAGUCCAGGCGCCGAUUCCACGCCGAUGCGGAGAAUGCACUUUUUCACCAAAGAAUGUACCCAGUAAGUGGACUACAAACUUCCCCCACCACCCCAAUGGCCUUCAGCUCAGCUUGCGGGUCGUCUUAACGCUUCCCCAGUGGGCGUUAAAUCGUCGGAAUGAUUUUUGAGGGGUGGUGGUUGUGAAAUACGUACAAGAGUUGCCGACGUCGGCCCGGCAUGCCGAUUUAGUGUUUCCAAUCCGAGAAUUUUUCUAGAGCCGAGUGCCGUGCCUUGUUUGGCCCCGGCAUGGUUCCGAUAUGUUCUUACGUAUUCUGGAGAAUCUCAGAUGGUCAUGAGAUUCCACGGUCGAGAUGAAUACGAGGCGGGUAUUCCUUCAUCCGUAUUAAUCCCGUUUCUCUUCCCUGUUUAUCCUGGGGUACAACACACCUCGUAUCGGGCUGUUGUUAAACAGCCCACCUUCUCCCCACGGGUAGUCGGCAAUUUAUGGCCGAUUCGAUUCCUUCGAAGCUCUGAGAAGUAGUCAAUCAUUUGAUCAAAACGGCUGCCCGGUUUGUUCCCGUGCAUCUCGCUUUUGGUGCUAGAACGGUUUUCACAAUGGCAUCAUAGACACCAAAGUUCUAGGCGAAUCUCUCAUCUAGGCCUACUAAAUAAGCCGUUCCGCUAAAGUAAGAAUUCUAUACCGUAGGCCUGAUCAAUCUUCGUCGCAUCGAAAGGAACGACACAAAAAAGGUUCAUGUUGGAGGACCAGGCACCGACUCACCAGUUGACUCUCCUUAUCAUAACGACAGCGAACUGAUCGAUACGGACUGGUAUGCUUAUGCAGGGCAUUGGAUCGUGUCAGACUUUUGGGCAUAAUUCAUUAAGAUUUCUAGUACCCAGAUGGAAAUAGAAAAGGAUAUCAAAUGCACUAGACACGCAACGCAGCCA
rnacentral:lncRNA from 1 species